GACGAACGCUGGCGGCGUGCCUAAUACAUGCAAGUUGAGCGCUGAAGGUUGGUACUUGUACCAACUGGAUGAGCAGCGAACGGGUGAGUAACGCGUGGGGAAUCUGCCUUUGAGCGGGGGACAACAUUUGGAAACGAAUGCUAAUACCGCAUAAAAACUUUAAACACAAGUUUUAAGUUUGAAAGAUGCAAUUGCAUCACUCAAAGAUGAUCCCGCGUUGUAUUAGCUAGUUGGUGAGGUAAAGGCUCACCAAGGCGAUGAUACAUAGCCGACCUGAGAGGGUGAUCGGCCACCUUGGGACUGAGACACGGCCCCAACUCCUUCGGGAGGCAGCAGUAGGGAAUCUUCGGCCAUGGACGAAAGUCUGACCGAGCAACGCCGCGUGAGUGAAGAAGGUUUUCGGAUCGUAAAACUCUGUUGGUAGAGAAGAACGUUGGUGAGAGUGGAAAGCUCAUCAAGUGACGGUAACUACCCAGAAAGGGACGGCUAACUACGUG
rnacentral:rRNA from 1 species